UACGGGGGGGGCAAGCGUUGUUCGGAAUUACUGGGCGUAAAGGGCGCGUAGGCUGCCUUCUAAGUCGAACGUGAAAUCCCUGGGCUCAACCCAGGAACUGCGUCCGAUACUGGAUGGCUUGAAUUCGGGAGAGGGAUGCAGAAUUCCAGGUGUAGCGGUGAAAUGCGUAGAUAUCUGGAGGAAUACCGGUGGCGAAGGCGGCAUCCUGGACCGACGAUUGACGCUGAGGAGCGAAAGCUAGGGGAGCAAACGGG
rnacentral:rRNA from 1 species